GGGGAGUGAGUUGCCUGGAUCAAUUGUCCCAGAGAGGAGGCCCUACCUGCUUCAGUGGCCCCGGGGGAGAUGAAUGAACUGAAGCUUGGAGGGGCUUGGCAGCUUCCUCAGCUGGUGAGCAGGGAGCCAGGGUUUGAUCUCAGGGGCUGUAACUCCAGACAAGGCAACACACAAGGCUGUACCAGACCCGGGAUUGAAGGCUGGACAUCAAUAAAGAUCAUUAAAGAGAAUUGCA